AGUCACGCUGUAAACGAUGUCGAUUUGGAGUUUGGGGGCAUGACCCUUUGGCUCCGGAGCUAACGCGUUAAAUCGACCGCCUGGGGAGUACGGCCGCAAGGUUAAAACUCAAAUGAAUUGACGGGGGCCCGCACAAGCGGUGGAGCAUGUGGUUUAAUUCGAUGCAACGCGAAGAACCUUACCUGGUCUUGACAUCCAUAGAAUCUUUCAGAGAUGAGAGAGUGCCUUCGGGAGCUAUGAGACAGGUGCUGCAUGGCUGUCGUCAGCUCGUGUUGUGAAAUGUUGGGUUAAGUCCCGCAACGAGCGCAACCCCUAUCCUUUGUUGCCAGCACGUAAUGGUGGGAACUCAAAGGAGACUGCCGUUGAUAAAGCGGAGGAAGGUGGGGACGACGUCAAGUCAUCAUGGCCCUUACGACCAGGGCUACACACGUGCUACAAUGGCGUAUACAAAGGGAUGCGAAGGUGCGAACUGGAGCGGACCUCACAAAGUACGUCUAAGUCCGGAUUGGAGUCUGCAACUCGACUCCAUGAAGUCGGAAUCGCUAGUAAUCGUGAAUCAGAAUGUCACGGUGAAUACGUUCCCGGGCCUUGUACACACCGCCCGUCACACCAUGGGAGUGGGUUGCACCAGAAGUAGAUAGCUUAACCUUCGGGAGGGCGUUUACCACGGUGUGGUUCAUGACUGGGGUGAAGUCGUAACAAGGUAACCA
rnacentral:rRNA from 1 species